rnacentral:piRNA from 1 species
UCAGUUAGUUGGUUUCCUUUGCUGAC